GAUCAAGAUAUCAUAUAAAUUUUUGAUUUUUUUUUUUUGAAAGUCCAACCAAAGUUUUAUUCAAUGCUUCUGGGUAACUAAACAAUUAACCAGAGAGUUCACCAAGAAACCAUACACCAAUUAUAACAUUCAUACACCAAGAGCAUACAGAUCGAAAUUGCACCAGUUGACCCAUGCUAAAUUCUCCAGCUUCACACGACUUUUUAACCACAUGUAACCAAGCAUCUUAAUCUCUUCUUUCAUUCUGCUUACGUUUGGGUGCUUUCCGUUAAAAACCGCGUCAUUACGGCUCCUCCAAAUGACCCAAAUAGCUGCUUGAGUCACCAUAGAUACCGCUUUUUUCCAUCUCUCCGAACCUCUGUUCCUUUUGUGAAUGUUGGCCAGAUCUGAUAAUUCCAAAAUAAAAAUAGAUCUGAUCCUGCACCAUCUAGAAAUAAACUCCCAGAUUUGAUCCGCAACUCGGCAGGAGCCGAAAAGGUGCAAAGCUGAUUCAUCUUCCUCAUCGCACAUUCUACAGCGGCUAUUCGUCACCACCACAUUUCUUCUAGUGAGGGCCAUGGUGGUGGGCACUUUAUCCUGAAUAAGUCUCCAUACUAAAAAGUUCACCUUUAUAGGCGACCAAUUGUUCCAUUCGAACUCCAACCUGAGAUCAGAAAAAACAUUGUGCUGUAACUUAUUUCGCACACUAUUUACCGAGAAUAUCCCCGAAUCCUCCAACUUCCACACCCACCUAUCCGCUCCAAGCCCAAACUCGAACCCCAUAACCGCAACUGAGAGACUGUCAAGUUCAUCCGUUUCAGCUACACUUGUCGGUAAUCUGACCCACGAGUAAAAUAGCUCCCUUCCGGCAUCCCCCUCAAUGACCCGAUCCCUAAUAAGAGCAUUCUUGUUCGUCUCAAGCUGAAAAAUCAGCGGGUAUUUCUCGCAAAGCGGUACAUCGAACAACCACCUCUCUUUCCAGAAUAACAUCUGUUUCUCGGAACCCGGAUACCCUUUAAACAUAAGUUCCAGAUUGAUACCCAUAGCCUCGAAAUCAUCCGACAAUUUUUUUAUUUGUUUCCAUGGCCCGGCAAGAGACAACUUUGCUGGAAUAAAGCUCCAAGACCGUGAGUUAUUAUGUAUUGCCCACACCACUCUCUUCCACAAGCUACCCCUAUCCAUCUUGAAUCUCCACCACCACUUCGACAACAUGGAUAAGUUUGCCACUCUAAGAGACCCGAACCCCCCCCCCCCAAAAAAAAAUCCUUAGGGGUCAUCAUGCUAUUCCACGCCACCCACUUCAUUUUAUCCUUCUCCGGAAUGGACCCCCAAAGAAAGUCCCUACGAAGCUUUUCUAGUCUCUUAAUGACGCCCAUUGGAGCCUUGUAUAACGAGAAAUAAUACGUGGGGAGAGCAUUGAGGACGGCCCGAACUAGUGUGAUACGCCCCCCAAAGGAGAGAGUACUAGCCUUCCAAAGCGAUAACCUCCUUUUGAAAACCUCCAACACCGGAUCCCAAUUUUUAAUCAAAUUCAUAUUUGCUCCCACUUGAAGACCCAAGUAUUUAAACGGUAGCGCUCCUUUCGUACACCCCAUCAUAUUUGACAUCAAUUGAACAUGGGUAUCCUCCACCCCCACCCCGUAAAGACUACUUUUUUUUAGAUUUACCUUUAGGCCCGAGGUAAGAAAAAAACAUCUUAGGAGGCGUUUCAAGUUCACCAAGUUGUUGAAAGACCACUCACCCACAAAGACAACAUCGUCAGCAUAUAAGAAAUGAGAUAACGGAGACCCAUUAGGCGAAAGAGACAAACCUUUGAACGCCCCGAUUUCGCAUGCUUUCUUCAUAACCCCGGUCAAAGCCUCCAUGGCUAGGACAAAUAGAAACGGAGAAAGCGGGUCGCCUUGUCUCAAACCCCUCGAGCAAGCAUUUUGAUAAAAGAUGUUAGCAAUAGAGUUGACUUCUGUUUAUGAUGGAAUUUGAAGUUCAUGGUCAAUCUUGUAAGUUUGGUCAACAAACAUGCCCAUAAAAGUUACGGCAUGCAGACCGAUUUUGUAUUUUACCCUAAGUUUGAAUAAUAUGCCUUGCCGUAACGAAUGUGAAUCCCGUUGAAAAAUAUUAUUUUUACGUAUGACUUGGCACGUGCCUUAAUUGUCUUAUAAAAAGCUAGUAAAUUUUAAUUUAUAUAGUUCAUGGCCUCAAGUGCAACACUGAUUUAACUUUGCACGAAAUCUGUCUCCAAUUACAACUUUUUCCUAUUUUUUUAACGGCGAAUUUCUUUUAAUCCAUGUUCUUCGUGAGAUUUAAACCCAAUACAUGUUUCUCCUUGAAAAGCUGUUAG
rnacentral:lncRNA from 1 species